AAGCGGAGGAAAAGAAACUAACUAGGAUUCCCUUAGUAGCGGCGAGCGAACAGGGAAGAGCCCAGCACCGAAUCCCGCGGUCGUAACCGGCCGCCGGGAAAUGUGGUGUUAGGGAGGAUCGUUAUCCCGAGGUCGCGCGGCGCGUCCAAGUCCACCUUGAACGGGGCCACUUACCCAUAGAGGGUGCCAGGCCCGUAGCGACCGCCGCCGGCAACGGGUAGAUCUCUCCUUAGAGUCGGGUUGCUUGAGAGUGCAGCCCUAAGUGGGUGGUAAACUCCAUCUAAGGCUAAAUAUGACCACGAGACCGAUAGCGAACAAGUACCGUGAGGGAAAGUUGAAAAGAACUUUGAAGAGAGAGUUCAACAGUACGUGAAACCGUUCAGGGGUAAACCUGAGAAACUCGAAAGUUCGAAUGGGGAGAUUCAGCGCGUCUCGGAGCGCGCGAGUGGCGUCGUUGCGACGGUCGGCGUUCGCGUCGUCCGCGUCUUCGUCACCGCAGUGCGACGAACGUGUGCACUUCUCCCCUAGUAGAAGGUCGUGAGCCGUCGGGUGCCCGUCUACGGCCCGCGGUGGAGCCCGUGCGGAGCGUUCAGGCGCUCCGUCGGACCCGCGGUGUCCUGGCCGGCCCGCUCGACGGUGUUGAAGUUGGUGCGGGGCCGCGAUUUUCGCGUCCGGCACGCGACAAGCACGGCCGGUUCAAUCCGACUAUCGGACCUUGUGCCGAUACCGGACCCGGUCGACUGUUGGUCGCCGUGUUCUCGGACAGACCCCGAUACACCUGUCAACGACGCCCUUGCAUUGGGUACUCUCAGGACCCGUCUUGAAACACGGACCAAGGAGUCUAGCAUGUACGCGAGUCAUUGGGACUAGCGAAACCUAAAGGCGAAAUGAAAGCGAAGGCCGCCUCAGGGCGUGCCUAGGGAAGAUGCGGAGCGCCAAGGCGCUCCGCCGCACUCCCGGGGCGUCUCGUGCUCACUGCGAGCUGAGGCGCACCUAGAGCGUACAUGCUGGGACCCGAAAG
rnacentral:rRNA from 1 species